GGCAAGCAUUCAGGAAAUUUCCUGCUUAUAAAAGAAAUCUAGCCAGGUAAAAAUAAAUGAAUAUGCAAUUAGACUUUCCUAGGAUUUCUAACUACAGCAUGUCAUGAUCUGUAAUGCUGUAUUGUCUGUCCGUUUCAGUACAAUACCCAGAUUAUAAAUUAUGACCUUCAUAGGCGAAUUACCCAGUGCAGCCAAUGUUGCUCGAGAGAGUGGUUGUGAGAGAAACCUAAUUCUGUUAAAGAUUCAGUUACAAAGGAGAACGUCAAAGCCGAUGAGAAUUUCUGCCCGUGGAGUUUCUCUGAAGAAGGUGACUGGUUUCAAGAGCCGGGCGGUGUUUUCAAAUGACAGUUCAGCCCCUUUGAGAGUGACAUCAUGGCAAGAGUGAUGGUAUUAACUCCAGUGUUGGUACCAGAGGAUGGCAGGGACUCAGAUGCCUGGAAAAAAUGGCCCGCGUACCAGCUGGGGUUGCCACCCUGGAACCACGACGCUUAGCCUUUCUUCUGUUACGAGACUGUGGAGACUGUUGGAGUCUCAAGGCUACGAGGGGCGUGGUUUUAGCCUCAUUUUAAAUGAUCGUGGAAACAGGAUUGAGAGGGUAAGUAACUUUGCUUGAGGUCACUAAGCCUCAGAUUUGGGAUUUGACUUGACUAUGCCACUUUUCAAAGUAAUCGUAAUAAUGACAAAAAUAAUAGGGGCAAUAUGGAGUAAGCACCCAAUAAAAG
rnacentral:lncRNA from 1 species